rnacentral:rRNA from 1 species
UACGUAGGGUGCGAGCGUUGUCCGGACUUAUUGGGCGUAAAGGGCUCGUAGGCGGUUUGUCGCGUCGGGCGUGAAAUCCACUGGCUUAACUGGUGGCUUGCUUUCGAUACGGGCAGACUGGAGGUAUGCAGGGGAGAACGGAAUUCCUGGUGUAGCGGUGAAAUGCGCAGAUAUCAGGAGGAACACCGGUGGCGAAGGCGGUUCUCUGGGCAUGUCCUGACGCUGAGGAGCGAAAGCCAGGGGAGCAAACGGG